UCCUCGAAUUACGCAAAGUCUGUGGCUUACGCCAGAAAAGUCCACCUUCCGGCGACAGCACAGCUCCGGGGCCCCCAUCUCACGGCUUACACCCGCCGGAUUCUCUCAUUAUCAUUUUCACUAAACUCAAAUUGCACAAUUAUUCUUCUUCUUUUUUCACCCUAAUCUACCAAUCCUAUGUCGACAACAACAUCCCAUUCCCCAAUCACUUCAACCCACCUUAUAAUAAUAAUAAUAACCUUAAUUGCUGUACCUAUUUAUUUAAUUUGCUCACGUUAAUCAGAUGAAUUUAUAAACAGACCCACAUGGUGAUUUAUUAGCUUUGUCUCCUCCUUUCACUCUCAAACCCUCAUCCCCACCACUUGUUCGAUGAAAUGCUUACAUGAGCACUAUUAUCAUGAUAUAUCUAUAUAUUACUACCUAGUGAUUGAAAUGAUUGUUGUGUUGUGUUGGUUCACCCUUCACCUUCAACAGGAGCCUCUCAUAUCACAAUUAUAUAUAUCUGUUCAUUAUGAUUUAUGCUUAUGCCCUCAUCUUUUGUGCUAAAAGUCAACUCAAGUCUCAAACUUUAUGCACUCUUUUACUUCUGUUGAUUAUGUUCUUUGAUGGGAUGAUAUAUAUGGUUACAAAGAUGAAGAAAGCUGACAGAAGAGAGUGAGCAUAUGCAACCAGUUGUAUAUAGAGUAUGCAUUUAUUGGGAUUAUGCGUGUGCUCACUUCUCUUGCUGUCGGCUGACUCACAGUGGAACUACAGCAGUAAACUUAUGGCUCUCUCUUUCUUGUAUUUUAUGUGUUUUUAUAAUCUUUUUUUGUGUAUUUUAUGUGUGGUAGUGGAGAUGUUUGAACUUUGAAGCUGCAAGAAAAGGAGUGACACCUGGUCAGAGACUUAUUGACACACACCCAUCAUCCACCAUCCAUUACCACCACCGCCAUCACUGUGUUCACAGAAAAAAGCUGCAGCUUCUGAUGACUCAACACUUAUCUUCCCAGUUCCCAUCAUCCACCUUCCACCACAUACCCUUUUUUUAUUAAUUUUAAUCUUUUAUAUAAUAAAAGUUUUGACCUUUUUGUUUCUUGAUGUGUAAAAAUGGAGUUUUGAUCAGAUUCAAACUGAGGAAGAUGAUCUCGGACACACCAGCUUUGGAGUUUGAAAUCCUGUACUUCUUCUUGAUGAAGAGCAAGAAGAGGGUUUUUUCUUGAAAUCAUUAACAAGUUUUUGGGAAGAGAAGACCAGAAAAGUUAUGGUUUUCUUUGAAGAAGUGAUCCAAUUUAAGCAUGGUAUGCAUCACAACUAGCUAGGGUUUCAUUGUGUAAAGACCCCUAAAAGAUGCAUGCAACCAACUCUUUGAAAGUCUAUGGGUUGCUAUAUACUAUCUGGAGGCACCAUAUCAAAAGGAUUAUUCCAGGUAUUUUCAGUGGGUUAAAGAAUGAGUUUGGAAACAUCAAAGGUCCAAACAUGAGGUUUACCAUGGUAACAACUAACAAGGGAGUUGGUUAUCCUACAACAAAACAGGAAUAGCGGAGCCCGCAUUUACUUCAAUGAUGAGCCUUUUUUUGGGUACCCAGUGGAACCCGUUACAAGAAAACUCACGAGACUUGUCAAUACUUUGCUAACGAGCGGGAUCAGAUAUAAACCAACUUGUGUUGGGAAGGUGGCUGAUCGAGGUUAUGGAUUCAAAUUUGAUACCUCUUGCCAGAGGAGAAUCAUGAGUUUACCACAGCGCCGUCUUUGACGGUUAAUAAUGUACGAGAAUUUGGCUCGAGGCUUUCAAGUUAGAGGAGGAGGCCGGAAUGGCAUACGGCAUACCAUUACACCAACCUUAAACUCUAGAAUGGUAUAAAUUCAUGAUGUGUUUCUGAUAUCUUCAAAUUUCAAGGUCUAGGUUUUAUUGUUAGAUAUGUACAAAAAAAAAAAAAACUUAUUAUUUAUAUCAUCUACAACACUAAAAAUUUACUUGAUA